GGGGUCUUGGGGCACGUGAAAUAAACGGAACCUAUUCACCCCAAGUCCCGUGCCACCUCCAUCUGUCCCCGCGCCGAUAACCGGGACAGCAGAGCUUUCGCAGGGGGACCGGCCGCCCGUUCUCUUCCAUCGCCGCCCAACACGCCCACGCUCGGGGUGUCCCGGUGAAAGGGGACUGCAAUGCAACAAAUGGUAGCAGAGGAUGGUUCCCUCCUUCGUCUUGUAAAACAAACGGGCAAAUUCGUGGGGGCGCCCGCCUCACGGAAGAAGAAGGAGGGAAGAGGAACAUCUGCGGUCGUAGAAGCUUUGCCGGACGCUAAGAGGAGCCAAGUGCCGAGCGAAAAGAAUUCGGCUCCGGGACCCUCCUUUGUUCUCGCCUCCGUGCGCUCCACCCCACCCCUGCUGAGAUCAGCCGUACUGCACUGGGGCAGACAUGCUGCAGGGGCUUUGAAGGGGGGGUAGACCUACUCCAGAACAAGGAGGGCGGUUUGGCAGCGGCUCAAGGGAGCCCGAAGGACGGCGAGUCAGGGGACAGCACUUGAACGUGACCACCAGAGGCCGAUAGUGGUCGAGCCCAACGCUUCAGGGACAAGUUUUGGGUGCAGCCGAGAUCGGCUGGACUUGCCUGCAAGUCCCGGGAACACCUAAGCCUCUGGAAGAGCCAAACCUAGAAGGAACGUCCCCAGUUCGGCGCGACUUUUCCACCAAGUCGAGGAGAAGAAUCAAGCCAUCUCCACCCGGGCCCCAGAGGGUAAGGUGGGCUAGACGGGGUGGGGUCCAUCCCGCCGGGUGGCUGGGUUUCCCAUUUUUUCUUUUUGCGUUUUAACCCUCGCUCGUGCUCAGACGGGAGCUGUAUUCUUGCAUGUGCCCGGUGGGCGAGUGGGUUUUUCGUUUCUGGGGGGGAGGUCCCAGGUACUCCCCACCUAGUCUUUUAUGGGGACCCAUAUUUGAUUGCUUUUUCUUCCCCUCGAAAAGUCGUCUUCUCUAUCCUUUCCUCCCCAAUCUGGGCUGGACGGAGGGGGUAGAAAAGACACAAACGGGACAAAUGUUUGAAAGGCGGCAUGUUAACUAUAGGAGGGUUGGUAAGAGAAGCCCUGUACACCCACGCAUUGUGUCGACAUCCAGCUGUGUCGGGCUCCUCUCCUGUAAAUUCCCCUUUUGCUUCUGUGAAGCUCCCCAGAUCCCCUUGCCCUCGGAUUUUCCUAAACUUUUCCCUGUCUUCCCUUGGGGAUGGCUUGCACCCGGCACCCCCUUACAAGAUGGCGCUGGCCACGCCACUUGGAUCCUACUUAACCGCGCUGAUCCUUCUCUUUCACCCCCCGGUUUCCUGCCAGCCCCACCCUCUCCCCAAGGGCCCCGACAAUCAAAAUUGCCGUGUGGCUAGUCCCUGUGGGGGGGAGGCGGGGUUGGAUAUUCCCUAAUCCUUCUUCUGGCCCUUCCUCUGGUGGGACGGAUCGCUGUUGAGGACCUCCCAUCAGAGGACCCCCCUUCUUAGAAGAUCACUCCCCUUCUCGGGGGGGGGGGUCUCCUUUGAGGGAGAGCGGGGCGAAAACCCCAGACUGGAAACCGCCAUUUUGUCUUCCCCCUGAGAUGGCGGCACCCUGGUCCACCCCUUACCGAUUCCCCUUAUCAAUCAUGACAGUCACUAAUCAAGUGAUUGUCUGAUUCCCCUGUCCCAUUCCUUAAUGCACCCUACCCAAUGUUCCCUUUUAUUUAAUAAUCUACUUGUUGAGUUAUAUUUUAUAGAAAGAAAGAUCAUGCUAUUUAGUUUAUACCCACGGUAUUAUGCCCACUCCGGAAAUAAAGAAUAAAAUCAGACAAGCCAUGUCGCUGCUCGCUGCUUCAACUCCGCUAUACAUCUCCAGUGCCGCGACAGCCCAAGUUUCGAAUCAGAUCAAGCUGUGAAUCCUGCUAAAUGUUUUACCCUGAAUUCAGGAUUUGUUUAUGUCAAUUUUAUACGCUUUGUAUAUUAAUUUGUUUUAUUGUAAUUAUAACUAAUUUGUACUUUUCUGAUGUUUUUCAACUUAUUUCUGUUUAAUAAUUUGUAAUGUUACUAUAUGAUUUUGUUGUAUUUUAUAUAUGAGGUUUAUAUUGUUUAUAUGCAGUAUUUGUUUAAUGUCCAAGAUUAAAAAAAGAACGGUUUCCUAUUUACCAUCUGAGUAGGAGUUGCCUUGAGGCAGUUUUCCUUAUCUGCUGUUAAUAGCCCCAUCAAUGCCUUGCUACAUGACUCAGAGAUAACACUGUCCAGGAGCAGGUGAUUAAGGACACACCUCGUGACUCAUAAUGACCCAUUGUGAGAUGCUCUGCACAGGGGGGAGGAGCUAGGCAUUCCAACCUGGAUAAAACUGGGGUUUUCUAGACAGAGGGUCAGCCUUUUCACAGGUUCUCCGAGAAGACACAGCAACUACAUCUGCCAUCCCAUGAGGACUGCAGCUACUCCAAUUUGGACUGCUACCAGCACGCUGGCCAGGUUGUAUUCUGACUUUGUCAGUAGUCUUUCCCUUUGUAUUAUUGCAUGUAUUUUUUGUCCUUUUCCCCUUUUCCCAAUAAAUUGUAUUUCUGA
ensembl:lncRNA